AACGAACGCUGGCGGCAUGCCUAACACAUGCAAGUCGAACGCCCUGGGCAACCAGGGAGUGGCGGACGGGUGAGUAACGCGUGGGGACCUGCCUCGAAGUUCGGAAUAACCGCGGGAAACUGCGGCUAAUACCGGAUGUGGCCCGAGGGCCAAAGGGGAAACUCGCUUCGAGAGGGGCCCGCGUCCGAUUAGCUAGUUGGUGAGGUAACGGCUCACCAAGGCGACGAUCGGUAGCUGGUCUGAGAGGAUGAUCAGCCACACUGGGACUGAGACACGGCCCAGACUCCUACGGGAGGCAGCAGUGGGGAAUAUUGGGCAAUGGGGGCAACCCUGAUCCAGCAAUGCCGCGUGAGUGAUGAAGGCCUUCGGGUUGUAAAGCUCUUUUGGCGGGGACGAUGAUGACGGUACCCGCAGAAUAAGCCCCGGCUAACUUCGUGCCAGCCGCCGCUGUAACAC
rnacentral:rRNA from 1 species